rnacentral:lncRNA from 10 species
CGCUGGCUGGGCUGGAGCCCAUUCUCCUGGAUUCUGGGAAUUAAGCUUUCCCCAGCAGCUACACUAAAGACAAUGUAGUCCCAUUGGCUGACCAACUCCCAGAUUCAUGCACCAAAGACACCUGCAACCUGCCUGGUCCAACCUGCGAAUUUUACAGAUGGGAAAACUCAGUCCUGGAGGCCUUUCCUGGUGAGAGACAAAGAGGCUGGGCCUGAGCGGAGACACCGCCCAGUAGACACCAAGGUCGAGGCUGGGGUGAAAUCACUUCCACUGCCAACUGAACUCCAUGUUUCUGUUCUGGAAGAUCUAAUGGAGAACCCAGGAGAGAGGACAGCAGGGAGGAGAAGGCAGCCCUAAUUCAGAUGCAGAUGUCACUUAGAACUUUUUACUUACACCUAUAAGAGGAGUCUGUCAAUAUCAGAGACAUGCUGGCUGUCAUCUGGAUAUGAUCCCCCAGAUCGUCUCCAAUCAAGAACUCUCAGAAAGGGCAGGUCACUGUCUGGGUGGUCAGGAUGGUGGCUCAUGGGGGCAGCACCCACAUGGGGAUGACACGUGGAGUGAAGUGUCCACCUGCCUGUGUCCACCCAGUGAGGCUGGGAUGAGACCCUGUGGAUGGAUGGCUGGUGACACUUGGGAGCAGCCGCAGACAAGCCGAUCACUCAGAGACUUAGGGCUCACUGGGGAGGCGUGAGAUUUCCUUUAGUCCUUGGACACCAAGUGAACACCACUCUACACCCGUAUCCAGCAUUGAUGACAAAGAAGACAGAUCCCAAGAAAGGGCUGGUGGGGGUUACACCAUGGCAGGAAAGUUCCUGGGAUUGGGAAUGAGCUAGACUCCACCUAUUGGUUGUGUGACUUGAGAAAGCAACUUAAUCUCUCCAACCUCAUUCAUUCGAUAACUACUCAUCAGGUACUCGCUGCAUGCCAAGCAUUGUUAGAGACUUUCGAUGCAGCCUUUUCUACAAAAUAGGGAUUUUUACCACCUACCUAAUAGGACUGAUGUUAAGUCCAUAAGACAUAAAGCAAUGACUAUAGUACCUGGCCCUCAAUUAAGGUGAGUUAUAAUCUCCUACUAACAUACCUCUCCUUUUGGAAAUUGGGGGUCGGGGUGUGAUGGACAAGAAGCAAGUCAAUUCAAAGCCUGGCAUUCAAGAGAAAAAUACCUAAUGGGUGACAAUAGCAAAUUCCCAGCCAUUUUGCUCUCUUAUUUGAAAAGAACAGACCAGGCAGGGUUUGGAAUGACCAAAAGUUAAGGCAACAAGUGCAGUGGCAAGGACACCAGGCCUAGUCUGCCCCGCUGUCUUGCUGUGUGACUUAAGUUAAAAGCUUUGCCCUCUCUGUUCCUGGCUUUCCUCAUCUGUCAGAGGAAAAUAAUAAUAUCUGCCCUGCUUAGUCCUCAUCGUAGUAACAUAAAACAUAAGAAUGUAUCUUAAUAUGAUAAUGUAAAACUUAAGUUAUCUGUGAUGCUUAAGUUAAUGUAUCUGAAAGUGCUUUGAAAAAUACAAAAUGUCUUAGUCCAUUUGGGCUGCUAUAACAAAAUACCUUAGACUGGGUAAUUUAUAAACAAAGUUGUUGCCCAUAGUUCUGGAUGCUGGGAAGUUGGAAGAUGAAGGUCCCAGCAGACUCGGUGUCAGUCGAGGGCCUGUUCCUCAUAGAUGGAAGUUGGAAGAUGAAGGUCCCAGCAGACUUGUUGUCGGUCGAGGGCCUGUUCCUCAUAGAUGGAACCUUCUACCUGUCUUCACAUGGUGCAAGGGAUGGACAAG